rnacentral:rRNA from 1 species
UACGGGGGGGGCAAGCGUUGUUCGGAAUUACUGGGCGUAAAGGGCUCGUAGGUGGCCAACUAAGUCAGACGUGAAAUCCCUCAGCUUAACUGGGGAACUGCGUCUGAUACUGGAUGGCUUGAGAUUGGGAGAGGGAUGCGGAAUUCCAGGUGUAGCGGUGAAAUGCGUAGAUAUCUGGAGGAACACCGGUGGCGAAGGCGGCAUCCUGGACCAACACUGACACUGAGGAGCGAAAGCCAGGGGAGCAAAUGGG